AAACGUCCAUCCUCAUGUCUUCAUGCUUGCACUAUCCAAUCUUGGCCCAAAAAUGCUCCAAAUAGCACUUUGUUGCUAACUUUGUUAUUUGAACCUACAAACACACGAAAAUAGCUUGCAGUACUAAAAUAACUAGAAUUAAACUAAGUAAAUGCCAAGAAACAAGCUAACUAAGUUGCAUAAAUAUGCUCCUAUCAAAUUCCCCCACACUUAGCUUUUGCUAGUCCUCGAGCAAAACAAAAGAAACAAAAUGAAACAAAACAACAAAACACAACCUAACCUUCUAACAUUUGCCUCAGGGAUUUCCAAUGCACAUGACAUGUUAAAAAUCAUCAUUCCCACAAAUUUUGGUUAUCUUCACACUUAAGCACAAACUUAAUCACAGUCACUACUUACUAGUUCACAAUUAUCCAAUUAAAACAAUGUUUUGAAUGUAGUAACAUGCCUUAGAGAAUUUGUUCAAUUCCUUACAAGAUACUCUUUAUUUUCUCACACAUUUUCUGACUACACACCCUAUACUAGGUAUAUGUGAGAAGAUUGAUGUAAACAUGAAAGACUAGGACUCACAUAUGUUAUAACAAAGAAAGCAAUUUUCUGGAGUUAUUAAGCAUGUUUAGAUUUGAUCUCAUGAAUGGAAUGGUACUAUUUAGAUGCGAGAAUCAGUGACACCAUAUGCUCAUACCAAUUUCGAACUCCACAAAUUGAAAUACACAACACUCAAGAUUAAAGUCAAGGGUUGUAACAGGGCUUGAGGGUAAUGGCUAAUAAAGAAAGGAUAAGAAUAACAAACGUUCUUAAAGCGAUAGCAAGCAAAGCAAUGAAAUAGACACUCGGAAUUCACUUUAGAAUGCAGAAUCAACUUUUAAAUACAAAGGGAAGAUUCAUGAAACACUUAGGGCCGAAUUCAAUGUUUUGGACCCUUUUUUACAAACUUUUUUUCUUUUCACUCUUUUUUUUUUCUUUUCUACCCGUGCCUUAUUAAGGACUUUGGCACACACACAUACACACACAAGAAUCACUUCUGCCACACUUGCUUUCUGCAAUACAUUGAUAAAAAAAGAGUUCAUUUUAAGUCAUGCUUUACUAUGCUUCAAGAACAAGGGUAUGGAUGAUCCUAAAACUAGGCUAGGUAAGGAUAGUGUGGGUUAACAAAGAACAUAGGCUUAACAAGGCUCAACGGGGUUAAACUUAAACACAUAAUGAAAUAGGGGCACGGCAAUUUGGCUUUGGUGGUCACUACACAACUUCAUCUUGAAUAUGUGUUAUGCAAAUCAAUAGCGUACUUUGAAUGAAAUAGGUAUGAGUUCUAGCAUUUGGAACUAAAUGAUGAAACGCCUUCUAAGUAGCAACCAAGCAAAGAAUAAUGAGAUCAUGCAACGACUUUAGAAAACAAUGAUGCACAGAUUAUUAACUCUCCAAAUAAACGUUUAGGCUCAAGUCUCACAAGGUUGUAGCGUACAUUUGAGUUCAUUCUUUCAAGCAUGUUACAAAACUGAUUUUUCCUUUAUGAUUAGAUGUAAAUUCAUAAAUUAUAACCACAACCAAGCAUACAUCAAAGAGUAAAUCAAAUUUUCAUCCAUGUUUAUAACUCUUUUUAACAGUCAUGUAAUUAAAAACCAAAUCCUCAUCAUUGUGUUGGAAGGUACCCUAAGACACAAAUAAACAUACAAAAACAACUCUUUUUGGGUUUUUCAAAACAAUUUUUCAAAUUUUUAAGAGAUUUUCGGAUUUUUAUGUCAAAACACACUGAAACACUCCAAAACAGCUUAAAAACACUUAAAACAGCAAGGAACAACACUAGAAGUAAUGGGUGAUAAACUCCUACGAAUUUCAUGCAAAACAAUGGUUUGCCCCCCCACACUUAAAUCAAACAUUGUCCUCAAUGUUUCAAGCAUAAACUCACACAAAAAACAAGCAAACAAACAAACAACGAAUAAACAUGACAAGUAUGGCAAAGUAAAAACCAGACAGAGUAGAGUUUAAGAAUGCAAAUCUGGUUUUGGAGAUAAAUGAUCUUGUUGUCUUUCCACAGCUUUGAUCUCGAACUGGUUUGAAAUUCUGAGCGAGGAAUAUGAGAGUUCCUUGGUUUCAAAUCAGACUCCUUCUGCUGGGUUGAUUUGAUUGUGUAGUCUGCAUUUUUCUCUGCUUGUUUCUUCUGCACGGCAGGCAGGCAAGAGGUAGAGGUGUUGGUCUGUUUCUUUCUUCAAUCUUUCCAAGUGCCUACCUCUUGCUUUCUUUGUCCUUGUCCCUAGCUGAGGAUGAAUUGGCAAAUUGUCUCCACAUGCUUCGAGGUAUCAUUUUCACUUCCCUUAUCUGUUCCCUAGGUAGAUGUGGUAGACGAAGAGGAAGCAUAAGAUGAUGAAGAUGAGUACUCAAGAGCAAGGCUAGGUAAGCAAUCAGGAAGGGGUUCCAGGCAGUCGGUUCCAGAUCGGAAGAUUGAUACCAAGUGCUGGCUGAUUGCUUUCUUUCUCCUUGUCCCAAAACAACGACAAGGAGAAUGAUAGGGAGAAAGCAUGAUAUAAGAUACUCUUGCUUUCAACCUUCAUGAUAUGAAAUACUUUUGCUUUAGAUGAGUUGUUUGCAGAGGUACCCCAAGGAAUAAAGAACACUGAGUGACUCGAGAGGGUUUGUUGGAAAGGCAUUCUCGGAGAAGAAAAAGGGUUAUGUAUGUCUGCCUUGCAAUGAAGGGUGAAGGGUGACAUUUAUAGGAAUUAAUAACCGGUACUAUUCUUUCACUCUUGUCAGUAACCGUUGGAUGAUUUAAUAGUAAACUUUACGUGCUUUCUACUUCACAAGAGAUCUUCAACAGAUUGCCCGUAAUUUUCGCAAGGCUGAGUGUACAUGUGACAGGCGCUGACACGUCUGGAAAAGCUAGUGCCUCUUCGAUAUCUGGAAUCGGCGCUUCGACAAACUACCCGUGAUUUUCGCAAAGCUGAAUGUGCAUGUGACAGAUGCUGACACAUCUGGAAAAGCAGAUGCCUCUUCGAUAUCUGGAAUCGGCACUUCGACAAACUGCCCGUGAUUUUCGCAAAGCUGAGUAUGCAUGUGAUAGAUGCUGACAUGUCUGGAAAAACAAGUGCCUCUUCGAUAUCUGGAAUUGGCGCUUCGACAAACUGCCCGUGAUUUUCGCAAAGCUAAGUGUGCAUGUGACAGAUGCUGACACGUCUGGAAAAGUAGAUGCAUCUCUGAUUUCUGAGCUCGCCCCUUCGAGUUCUGAGCUCCGUCGAGUGCAGAGGUUGCAUGUGACAAGUGCGGACAAAUCUGGAAAAGAAGAUUGGCUCGUGGUUUCUGAGCAAGCCCAGCUUUUGAGAAAGCUAGCGCCUCUUCAAUUUUUGAAUUGGCUUCUUCGAUUUCUGAGCUCGCCUAUUCGAUCUCUGAAAUCCCGUCGAGUGCUAGUUUUUAUAGAGGUGCGCAGUAUGUUUCAAAGCACACUUGAAUUUCUGCAUGUAGAAACUCCCUUCUUGCACUUCUACGAUCUUGACUUGUCCGACCUCUUCUUUCUUCAACACCUUUGAAAAUGUCUGGCCCCUCCGACCGUCGUUUUGACUUGAACCUUGGUGAAGAGGUAGCCAUGCCUUCUCCAGACAACAUAUGGUGCCCAUCCUUCAUAUCCCCUACUGGUCCUCUUACCGUUGGGAAUUCGGUGAUGAAGAAUGAUAUAACCGCUGCGGUGGUGGCUCGGAACCUUGUCAUUCCCAAAGAUAGCAGAUUGUUUUCCAAACGGUCUAAUGAGUUGGUUGUUAAGGAUUCUCUGGCUCUCAGUGUGCAGCGUGCAGGUUCUGUGUCUACUAUAGCCCAACGCAUAUUUGCUCGAACCCGUCAAGUUGAAUCGUUGGCGGCUGAAAUGAUGAGUCUCAAACAAGAGAUUAGAGGGCUCAAGCAUGAAAAUAAACAGUUGCACAAGCUCACACAUAACUAUGCUAUAAACAUGAAGAGGAAGAUUGACCAGAUGCAAGAAUCUGAUGGUCAGAUUUUACUUGAUCAUCAGAGGUUUGUGGGUUUGUUCCAACAGCAUUUGCCUUCGUCUUCUGGGGCUGUACCGCGUAAUGAAGCUCCAAAUGAUCAACCUCCGAUGCCUCCUCAUUUUGGGGCUCCGCCGACUGCUAAGGCUCCGCCGACUACUGAGACUUCUCCUAAGCAGCCUUUGUGAAGGCUUCCUCUUGUAUUUUCUGCUUAAUGUUCCUUUUUUUUUUUUAUGAAAAUGAAUGUAAAAAUACCUUGCAUAACUGUCAAUGUUUCAAAAAUAAUCCCACACCAAAAACAAUUAAACAAGCAACAAAUAAAAAUGACAAUCAUGGCAAAAUAAAACUACAGAAUUAAUUGUGGAGCGAUUCAAAAAAUCUUCCUUAUUUGAAUAUAUGGGUUGCCUCCCAAGAAGCGCUUGCUUUAACGUCUUCGAGCCGGACGAAACUUCCUUCUAAACUUGGAUAGGGCCCAUAGCAUGGAAUUGAUCCUUGAAUGGAAGGUAAUACUUGACGUGAUCCGAAAAUGGUUUAAAUUCUAGCGUAGGUGCCUGAAUCAUCAAAAUCAGCAAGUUAGUAUAUAAUAAAAUCGAAGUUAGAGAAGAUGGCUUACUUGCUUGCUCCAACACAAACUUAAUUACGAACACCACAUCUUUGAAGGUUGCAGGGAUAUGGGACUUGGCCAGAUUUGGUGUUGAGAGUUAUGACUUGUCCCGUGUCAUAAAAUCCAACUUCUUUGGGAAUUUUCAUCUCAAGUGUAUCUUCUUUGAUGAAUUCUAGACAUUCCCCAUCCACUUGCUCUUGAUUCUUUGGAAAGGUUUCGAAGAUGCCUUUCUCACCCUCAUAUUCCUUGGAUUGCAUGAUCUUGCAAGGAAUAAGGACAGUUGGUGAAACGGGGUCAGGACAAAUUGAAUUUAGGCUUACCUUGGUUGUAGUGGACGGCAUAAAGGGCAUAUGGGGCUGCGGCAAGGGUGGUUCUUCCCUUGCCGUGGCCUUGUUAUUCUCCUCUUCUUUGAGCAGUAGCUGUUCAUCCAUGUUUUGGCUUGGUUUGGAUGUCUUGGGUUCACCUCCAACCUCCAUAGCACUUCCCAAAGUGAUAGCAUCAUGGAUUUCAAAAUCUUCCUUCAAAUUUUCAAUAGUUGAGUUGGAGAGUUCACUUUGCUCUUGAAUUUGUGCCAUGAACUCCAUAAUCUGCCCAAUUUGCUUCUCCAAUUCACCCGUCUUCUUGGCUUGAUUUUGCAUCUCUUUGUUUCGAUUUUCUACUUCCUGGUUCAAAGAGGUGUGUAACUUAUUAAACAUAUCAUUAUCCAAAGACAUACCUGAAUUGAAUUGGGCAGAUUGUUGUGGUGGCUGUGAUGGUUCAUAUGGCCAGUGAUAGAACUCAUCCGAUGGCGGCAAAUAUUCUUCUUGUUGUGAGCCAUGCGUCAAAGAGGUUAGUACAUCAAGAAUUUCAUCAUAAGUCAUAGGCAUACUUGAAUUUGAUUGGAAUUGUUGUGGAAGAGGUUGUGGUGGCUGCAUAGGUCUUAAAUAGAACUUCUCUUCUUGCUGCCAAUAUCCAUCUUAUUGGAAUUGUUGAGGUUCUCCCCACAUGUAAUCUGAAUAAUCUCUCCAAUCCGAAUUGUAAGCGUUGGAAAACAUGUUGUUCCAUGAUUGGCUAUGGCCUUGAUAACCCUAAGCAUCUUCAUUCGCAGCGAAUUGAGAACAUUGAUGAGUUGGAUAUCCUUGCCCAUAGGACACACCAUAUGUAGGGACACUUUGCAUUAUGGUUCUUCGACAUAUUGUGACAAUUGAGAAGUAAGUUUCGCCAAUUGAGCUUGAAUGGUAACAAAAUCCAUGUCUUACUUCUCUAGUACCUGAAAUCAAGGAAACAAAACUAAAUCAAAUAUCAUAAGUAAAAAUAAAAGACACAAAUAGAAACAAAGUCAGUAACUAAAAUAAAAAACAUGAAAAAGAAACAACGGGGGAUUAGCAAAGUUGCUAAUCCCCGGCAACAGCGCCAAAAAUUUUGAUGCGAAAAUUAACUUAACACACAAAUUAAACCCUUUUGUUGUCAAAUUGUAGUAUAAAUGCAAGUAGGAAUCGUUCUAAACCGGAGAUUAAGAGGGCUUGCUAAAACCUCUAAACUGAUUUAAAAACAUAUAAACAAAGUUAAAAACACUAAACUAGACUCAAAGAACUUAAAACAAACUCAAAGGACUCAAAACAAGCUAAAAACGCUCAAAUCUGCCUAAAAACACAAACUGGGCAGAUUUGGACUUUAACACACUUUUGGGACACCUAAAAACACAAAUCAAAAUAGAUUUUGACUAAUAAAACACUUUAAAGUAAAAAGGGUUUUGGUUUUGACGAAUUUGAAAACAAAACAAGUAAAUUAAAGAACUAAUGAAAUCUGCACGAAUUUAAGUAAAUUGAAUGGAUGGAAGACUAGCUAGGAGGUUCUUCUCCACACAUGACAUACUUGCACAUAAACCAAUUUUCAGUUGUUCUUUCGAUCAAUCAUGAAAACUCAACACCCCCAGGUUAAUUAAGUCCGCUUAAAUUAACCUUCAAGUUCUCCUUAAGUUAUUGAAUUGGAUGGGAAAGCGCAUACAACAAUUCAAGCAUUCUUCAAAAGUUCUUUACGUGAACAGCACAAUAAAGAUACAAUCAAAGAUCAUUAAGCAUUAUGAAAACUAUAAGUAUUGACGAGGCAUUCGUUACUAUGAUGAGCAUGAAACUCCUGCCAAGAAUUUAUUUAACGCGAUCGUUUAUAAGCGACCUCCACUACUUGUGAAUGUAAGUUUGUAACUAUUAGGUGAAACUCCCUUAUACUCUAGCAUCAUAUUCAUGCAUGCAAACUAAGUGUGCACUCUUAAUAAACAUACACGAAUAAGUUAUCAAUCAAGCAGUUAAACAAAUUGAAUUCACAACUUAUGAAAUCAUAAUUGAAGGUAAUCAAAUCAUAUUGCAAGCAUGAACAUGGUUUCGAAUUCCCCCUAGAUAAGGGGGGUUUAGCUCCUCAUACUCACAAAGCAAAGAUAAAAAAAUUUAGAUAUUGAAAACAAAGAAUGAAAACACCUAAAAACGCUCCAACAAUCCAACUUGAAUGGCAAGCACGUCCAAGGGUCCUCCUUCUUCUCUUUGUUGCAGCACAAGGUGUGGUUUUAUAGAUGAGUGGUAAAUUAUCGUGGUGGAUGGAAAUAGGUGAGUUAUGGUGAAGGGUGGAUGGGUGGAUUGUGUUCUCUCGGCCAAGGAAUGAAAGUGUAAGUGUAUGAAGUUGUGAGAUGUGAAUGUAGUGUCUUUUGAUAGAUCUUUUUCUCCUUUGUUAUGGUGAAUGGUGGAUGUAUUUAUAGGCUAGGGAGAGGACCACCAUCUAAUUAAGGUGGUAGUGAUGAGUGUUGUGGUAAUGAGUGGAUGUAAUGGGUGUGGUGGAUGAAUGUUUGGUAAUGAGUGGAUGUAAUGGGUGUGGUGGAUGAAUGUUUGGUAAUGAAUGGAUGUAAUGGUUGUAGUGGGUGGAUGUUUGAUAAUGAGUGGAUGUAAUGGGUGUAGUGGAUGAGUGUUUGGUAAUGAGUGGAUGUAAUGGGUGUAGUGGGUGAGUGUUUGGUAAUGAGUAGAUGUAAUGAGUGUAGUGGAUGGAUGUUUGGUAAUGAGUGGAUGUAAUGGGUGUAGUGGAUGGAUGUUUGGAGUUGUAGGUCAACACACUUGCACACACACAUGCUGAUUUCUAGCCUUCAAAUCUUCAAAAACGUCUAUCCUCAUGUCUCCUUGCUUGCACUAUCCAAUCUUGGCCCAAAAAUGCUUCAAAAUGCUCCAAAUAGCACUUUGUUGCUAACUUUGUUAUUUAAACUUACAAAUACACGAAAAUAGCUUAAAGUACUAAAAUAACUAGAAUUAAACUAAGUAAAUGCCAAGAAACAAGCUAACUAAGUUGCAUAAAUAUGCUCCUAUCAAAGGUUGACUCGAACACAUGGCAAGCAGGCAUGAGGUGAAGGUGACGACUUGUUGCUUUGUUCAAUCUUUCUAAUUCACACCUGAGCAGUUUGGUCAACGGUAUGAUCUUUAAGAUUGAUGGGCUCUUCUUCCAGUUGGUGACUUGAUCUUUAAGGAUUUGAUUCAAGGGUGGUGAAUCGGCACGUGCAGCCCAC
rnacentral:lncRNA from 1 species